rnacentral:rRNA from 1 species
GAGUUUGAUCCUGGCUCAGAUUGAACGCUGGCGGCAUGCCUUACACAUGCAAGUCGAACGGCAGCACGGGGGCAACCCUGGUGGCGAGUGGCGAACGGGUGAGUAAUACAUCGGAACGUGUCCUGUAGUGGGGGAUAGCCCGGCGAAAGCCGGAUUAAUACCGCAUACGAUCUGCGGAUGAAAGCGGGGGAUCCUUCGGGACCUCGCGCUACAGGGGCGGCCGAUGGCAGAUUAGCUAGUUGGUGGGGUAAAGGCCUACCAAGGCGACGAUCUGUAGCUGGUCUGAGAGGACGACCAGCCACACUGGGACUGAGACACGGCCCAGACUCCUACGGGAGGCAGCAGUGGGGAAUUUUGGACAAUGGGCGAAAGCCUGAUCCAGCAAUGCCGCGUGUGUGAAGAAGGCCUUCGGGUUGUAAAGCACUUUUGUCCGGAAAGAAAACCUCGUGGUUAAUACCCGUGGGGGAUGACGGUACCGGAAGAAUAAGCACCGGCUAACUACGUGCCAGCAGCCGCGGUAAUACG